GUUGCUCCUCCCCUGGCAGCCUUGCGGGGGGUUAGAUCUCAGCCGGAGCCGGAGCUGGGCCUAGCUGUCCCACGGGCCACCACUACCUCCUUUGGUUCGGGAGAAAGCUACGACCAAGUACGCCCAGCUCGGGCCUUAGAACUUCUGAACGGGCAGUGCGGGUAGGCCCUGCUUAGCCCUUCCCGGAGGACACCUGACCAAAAGAGGAAGAUAGUCUUGGGACCCUUGCAUGGUGUUUCAAAGGGUGGUGAAGAACUAAGAUAUCUUCUUGAAGCCCUGCAUCCUCCCAUUCUAAUUUGAACUGUUAGCUUCCCAUCACUGUCAUCUUGGGUAGAAGAAUACAUGUUCACUUCCAGUGAACAAGAGCAUGUUCCCAAACUCAAUUUUGGGUCGCCCACCCUUCACUCCAAAUCAUCAACAACAUAAUAACUUCUUUACCCUGUCACCUACUGUUUAUUCACACCAGCAGCUUAUAGAUGCACA
rnacentral:sRNA from 1 species